rnacentral:rRNA from 1 species
UACGGAGGGUGCAAGCGUUAUCCGGAUUUACUGGGUUUAAAGGGUGCGCAGGCGGAUAUGUAAGUCAGUGGUGAAAUCUCCGGGCUUAACCCGGAAACUGCCGUUGAUACUAUAUAUCUUGAAUGCCGUGGAGGUAAGCGGAAUAUGUCAUGUAGCGGUGAAAUGCUUAGAUAUGACAUAGGACACCUAUUGCGAAGGCAGCUUACUACACGGAGAUUGACGCUCAUGCACGAAAGCGUGGGGAUCAAACAGG